GUCCUGUGAUCCCGAUCGGACCGUUGAUCGUCAUCGUCUUGGUCGCCUUUGUGAUGGGGGUCAUCCUGAUGGGGGGUUUGUGGUGUAUCUAUAUUAAAACAGGGGGGCGUCCAGGAUCACUUGGAGGAGACGGACACUUCACGGAUCAGACUCACGAAGGUCAGAACAUCUGGAGUCCACUGUCACUGUCUGAUCAGUCCUCAAGCUCUGUGUAGAGGAUUUCCUCCCUGCAAAUCUGAGAGAACUGGGACAAAGGUGUGUGUGUGUGUGUGUGUAGGGGAGCACAGCUGCCCGUGUGUGUGCAGAGCCAUGUUUGUGCAGCUCUCCGUGGUGCAGCAGCAGCAGCAGCAGCAGCAGCAGCAGCAGCAGCAGCAGCAGCAGCGGCGGAGUGAGGACUGAAACCAUGUGAGCACAGUUGCACUUCCUGGUCACAGCUUGGUGUUUGUUUGAUGCUGUGAUAAAUUCUGCUUCAGUCAUUUUGAAACUGGCACCGUGAGCGUUUAUCUGGGUUCGACGAGACCUAAACCCUGGUCAGUGACUCAAACUGAAACCGUUUCAUCGCCUGUAGGCUGGAACGAGAGGUCAAAGGUGAAGGAUGAGGUUUCUGCUGGUGUGUUUUUUGAAGAGUCAGUGUCACUAUGAAUCAGCUGGAUGUCAAACCUUCAUGUUCUGUGUGUGAAUUCAUUUUCUGAUGUCAAAUAAAAUAUGAAAUGACGUGA